rnacentral:rRNA from 1 species
AUGUACUCGCCUGGAGGUGAAGACGACGGUUUGUAUGGGGAACAUGGGUGUGAACAAGAUGAACCUGUAUCGGUUACAUCGAGGCUGUCAGUCAAGCAGGUUGUGACAGUGGUGCAAUCGUUCGGUGAGUACAAGAGGUGGCUGGUGUCGGAAAUAGGAUUUGGGGGUAUGCUAAAGCUGCCACUGAUAGCAAAAAUUGAUCUGAAAUUGAGCUUGUGGGUAAUGAGGAAAGUGGAGGUUGUGUCUCGUAUGAUUGUAAUUGAUAAGGAUCGGAAACUUCUAUUCACUCCAGAGGAUUUCCACAAGGUAUUUGGGGUGCCGUGCGGUAAUAGGGAUGUGCGUGGGAGGGAUGGAGACAUCAGCAUACGUUCUGUUGAGUUCAUCAAGGAUAUCAUUGGGAUGAACAGAUCUGCUGCUCACAGUCUGAAGGCUGCUGAAAUAUUUCUAUACAGGGACAUAAAUGAGAGCUCAACCAAAAUGGAGGACUGUUUCCAGAUUGCGUUUGUUAUUUUUGUGUUGGGAUAUGUGAUUGCUCCGUCCAUGAAGCAUGACUAUAUGACGAUUGAUUUUUGGGGUGCAGUUGCAAAUCCGGAACUAAUAGGCCAAUUUAAUUGGUGCCAGUAUGCGAUGGACAAGCUCAUGGGUGCAGUCAUCAAGCUCAAGCAUGAUGAUGAGGAAAGGGCAAUGACUAUUAAUUUAUUCGGAUGCCAUUUUUUCUUCCAAUCUCUGCGGGAGUUGAGCUUAUUGCUGAAUGAGCAGAAUGUGAGAUGCAGAUUGAAUGCAUCAGAGUUGCGGAACAAGAUGCAGGCUGAUAUGUUCAGCUUUGCCGACAGGCUUGUAUCGAUUGUCAAGGAGCACUGCAGGUGCUGCGCUAGGCGUGGACUAAAAAGAUGCAUCACACUUGUUGAACAGGGUGCGGCCAGUGAAGGUGUGCCAGGCAUGUUUAAGACGCCUAUGCGUCACGUCGGACGCCAGCUUGACUUAUCCGAUGAUGAUGACGGGGGUCGUAACUAUGAACCAAGGGAGAAGUCUCCUCGCGGCUCGAUUCGUAUUGGAUGUCAUGGUGCGCAAGAUUCCAUAGGGUGUGUGGGGAUGCAAGAGGAUGGAGAUGCAAAUGUUAUAUACAACAAUUCGGUUGCGGUGCAAAAUGUUGCAAGUGUUGACAAUGGAAUCGCCGAUAGAUUGACAGUGUACGCACAAACUGUGGCGGACAUGGUGCGAUGCAUGUAUUGUAGUUGUGCAUAG